UUACCAGUUUGACAUAAAAGAGAUCCGCAAGGGACAGGUGGUGCAUGGCUGUCGUCAGCUCGUGUCGUGAGAUGUUGGGUUAAGUCCCGCAACGAGCGCAACCCUAUCAAUGUUGCCAGCAUAUGGGACUCAUUGAGACUGCCGGGGUUAAUCGGAGGAAGGUGGGGAUGACGUCAAGUCCUCAUGCCCCUUAUGCUGGGCUGCAAACACGCUACAAUGGGAUACAAGGGGCUUCGCGAGAUUAGCAAUCCCGAAAUCGUCUCAGUUCGAAUUGAAGUCUGCAACUCGACUUCAUGAAGCUGGAGUUGCUAGUAAUCCCGAUCAGCACGCGGGGUGAAUACGUUCCCGGGCCUUGUACACACCGCCCGUCACACCACGAAAGUCGGAAACCGAA
rnacentral:rRNA from 1 species